rnacentral:rRNA from 1 species
CGCAUCUGUGCAUGCAGCAUAUCAAUAAGCGGAGGAAAAGAAACUAACAAGGAUUCCCCUAGUAACGGCGAGUGAAGCGGGAAGAGCUCAAAUUUGAAAUCUUAAAGGGUUUCCCUUUACGAAUUGUAGUUUAAAGAAGUGUUUUCUGUUGAGGUUUUGGUAAAAGUUCUUUGGAAUAGGACAUCAUAGAGGGUGAGAAUCCCGUAUUUGACCUUUACUUUCAACUUUGUGAUACACUUUCAAAGAGUCGGAUUGUUUGGGAAUGCAGUCCAAAAUGGGUGGUAAAUUUCAUCUAAAGCUAAAUAUUGGCGAGAGACCGAUAGCGAACAAGUACCGUGAGGGAAAGAUGAAAAGAACUUUGAAAAGAGAGUUAGACAGUACGUGAAAUUGUCAAAAGGGAAGCGUUUGACACCAGUGUUGUUUUUCUGAAAAUCAAUUAAAGAACUGUUUAUGCUAAGCUGUUUAGACUUUAUCAGCUAACUGUUUAGUUUUGAGCUUUUCUUUAAUGCACUUUUCAGUUAACAAGUCAACAUCAAUUUCUUUUGCUGUAAAAAAGCUUGAGGAAGGUGGCUUGAGAUUCGUCUUAAGUCGUUUAUAGCCUCUUGCCUAUGCAGUCGGAGAGAUUGAGGUCUGCAGCGUAGAUCCUUCGGGGCUAAAUGCAUUUGUGCUAAGUUAUAACAUUUUAUAGACAACUUGUUGACUAUGAUUUGUCUUGUAGCUUACUCGCUUAUGUUAUUUUACCUACGCUUAGGAUGUUGAGCGCAUGUCUCUCUCU